UGGCUGACAGCUUAAACUUCUAGUUUUAUAGAAAAUUUAAAUUUUUUAAAUGAUUUCUAAUGAUGUUUUUAAUCUCUAAUGGCUAAAAAUAGCUAUUUUGGCUCUUUUAAAAGAUAGGCUACCAAAUAAAAUUAAGAACCAAGAGAAAGAAAAGAAAAUGAGAAACAAAGUGAGAACCCAAGAAUAUUAAUUGUAUAUUCAAAAGAGUUA
rnacentral:lncRNA from 1 species